rnacentral:snRNA from 1 species
GGAGAAUCCUUUGAACCCAGGAGGCUGAGGUUGCAGUGAGCCAAGGUUUUGCCAUUGCACUCCAGCCUGGGCGACAGGG